rnacentral:rRNA from 1 species
GUCGAGGGGCAGCAUAGGGUAGCAAUACUCUGAUGGCGACCGGCAAACGGGUGAGUAACGCGUAUGCAACCUACCCUGUACAGGGGGAUAACCCGGAGAAAUUCGGACUAAUAUCCCGUAAUAAUAUCCGGAGGCAUCUUUGGAUAUUUAAAGUUCCGACGGUACGGGAUGGGCAUGCGUAACAUUAGCUGGUUGGUAAGGUAACGGCUUACCAAGGCUAUGAUGUUUAGGGGUCCUGAGAGGGUGGUCCCCCACACUGGUACUGAGACACGGACCAGACUCCUACGGGAGGCAGCAGUGAGGAAUAUUGGUCAAUGGGCGCAAGCCUGAACCAGCCAUCCCGCGUGCAGGAAGACGGCCCUAUGGGUUGUAAACUGCUUUUCCAGGGAGAGAAACUUACGCACGUGUUGCGUGACUGACGGUACCCUGGGAAUAAGCAUCGGCUAACUCCGUGCCAGCAGCCGCGGUAAUACGGAGGAUGCAAGCGUUAUCCGGAUUCAUUGGGUUUAAAGGGUGCGUAGGCGGGCUAUUAAGUCAGUGGUGAAAUCCUGCAGCUUAACUGCAGAACUGCCGUUGGUACUGAUAGUCUUGAGUUUGGUUAAGGUAGGCGGAAUGUGUAAUGUAGCGGUGAAAUGCUUAGAUAUUACACAGAACACCAAUUGCGUA